GUUAUAUUAAAUAUUAUUAUUUUGUUUAUUUUAAUAUAAAUAAUUAAUAUUUUAAUAACAGAUUAAUAGUGUUUAACUAUUUGAGAGAGAGCGAUAACAGGUCUGUGAUGCCCUUAGAUGUCCGGGGCUGCACGCGCGCUACAAUGUAGUGAUCAUUAUGUUCCUGUUUAGAGAUAAAUGGGUAAACAUUGAAAACAUUACGUAACUGGGAGUGAAAAUUGCAAUUAUUUUUCAUGAACGAGGAAUUCCAAGUAAACGUAAGUCAUUAGCUUACAUUGAUUACGU
rnacentral:misc_RNA from 1 species